AACUAACGCUGGCGGCGUGCCUAACACAUGCAAGUCGUACGAGAAAGUUGGCUUCGGCCGAUGAGUACAGUGGCGCACGGGUGAGUAACGCGUGGAUAAUCUGCCCUUAAGUGUGGAAUAACGUACCGAAAGGUGCGCUAAUACCGCAUAAUGCCUGGCAACAUAAGUUGUCCGGCCAAAGAAGGCCUCUGCUUGCAAGCUUUCGCUAAAGGAUGAGUCCGCGUACCAUUAGCUAGUUGGUGGGGUAACGGCCUACCAAGGCGACGAUGGUUAGCUGGUCUGAGAGGAUGAUCAGCCACACUGGAACUGAGACACGGUCCAGACUCCUACGGGAGGCAGCAGUGAGGAAUAUUGCGCAAUGGGGGCAACCCUGACGCAGCAACGCCGCGUGAGUGAGGAAGGUUUUCGGACUGUAAAAGCUUCUGUCGAGGACGGGAAAGAAGUCGUAACCAGUGGACUAAUACCAUGAUUAUUUCGACGGUACCGCUAGAA
rnacentral:rRNA from 1 species